AAAAAAUCUAAAAGAAUAUGAAAAAUUGCCAAAAAUUAAAUCCAUAAAAUAAAAGCUGCUUCAUUUUGAACACUGUGAAAAGAUGAAAACGUAAAAAUGGUUUAUAUAACUGAAACGGUUCAACAAAGCUAACUAGAGUCAACAUAAGCAUUGGUAUUUUAAAUAAUUUGAGUUAAACUUGUUUUUAGUGUUUUACCUUUUAUAAAGAUGUUUAACUUGGUUGACUUGGUUAAUAUUUGUAGUUUUCAGUUUAUUUUCAUUUUUAGCUGAUAGUAACUCUUAAAACAAAUUCAAGUGUCCUUUAAGCCAUUUUAAACUAAAAAUAAUAGAGUUAUCAGAGAUAUACCAAAGUUUAUGUUAUACUUGGCUUAUGCUAAACGUAUUGGUAAGUAUUAGUGGAAAUCUACUUUAAUAUAGGCUAUUUAAGCAUAUUUAAUGAUGUACUUUAGCAGCAGCGGUUGUUCUUUUUAACUUUUAACUAACUCAACAAAUUCAUUGUUUUAACCUAACUGUUGGGUAGAAAACUUAACCUGGUGAGUUGGGUCAAACUGAAACCACUCGGUGUUUGUUUGGAUCCAGAAGUUUUUAAACCUUUGUAGAAGUUUGACUUUUAUCUUAAAUGUUAAGUUUAAAACAGUGGUGGAUCUAAAGGGGGGGCUGCGGGUGGCAGCUGACAUCCCAGCUGCCCCCCUUAUUUGUGGAUUAAUAAAGUCGAUAAAUUGUGAAUAAAACUUUUGUUUGUAUGCAGUUCACUCCUGGAUGUGGAAAUGUUUUCUCCCAUUAACCUGACAGGAAGCGUCCCGCUAACCGAUGCCUCUCUGUCGCUGAACCAUAACUUUAGUCAGUCCUGAGAAACAUGUGAUGAAUUUAUUUAAUGCAAGAUUUUUUUAAAUAAUUGCAGAUUUUUAAUCUUUGAAAUGAGUUUAACACUGUUUAAUCUCAUGGAAACUUUUAAAUGUUUGUUAAAAUGAAACUCAAGUUUUCUGUGUUUGAGGAGAAGCAGCUGAUUGAGAGUCUUAAUAAACUCUGUUCAGUAUUUUGUGUUUGUGUUGUUUGUGUUGUUUGUGUUGUUCUGGACAAAUCAAAUCAAGUCUAAACUUUAAACAAAGUCUGCCUUCGGCCUUUGCCAACCCCAAGAAAAAUAAAAUCUUGCCCCUCCACUGCACCGCUGCAGAAAUUCUAAUCCAGUGUUGAAAUAUUAACAAUAAUAAAAUUACAAGUUUCAACUUUUAAAGCCUGACUUUGAACUUUUAAACCUAAAACCUUUAAGAACAGCCCCAAUCCGAGUGUUUUACAAAAACUAAAAUAAAAAAUAAUCCAAGUCCUGAAGCAUGACUGGACACUUCCAUCCCCAGUCCACCCUUCCAAGUCCCAUCCACGCAGUUAAGCCGUCACUUUCAUUCAAGGUUGUGAAUUAUAUAGUACAUUGUCUACUCCCCAAAACCAUAAAACCAACUUUAUGGACCUCACGUGACUUUUCACAGUCUGUAAGUAAUAUAGGCCUUUACAAUCUUUGGUAAGGGGCUAUUUUUUUACCAACUUCAGCCGCAUAUCCAGCUGAAAAAGCCAAAAGACUCACAUUUUUUAUUAUUGUUCCUCAAGGGGGGAUUAUUUUUAUUUUUUAUCAGCGAGAUGUUUCAUAUUUGGGGGGAAAAGUCACGUCAGAGAGGUCAGAGGAGGUGAUUCAAGACUGACUGAAGACCAGAGGAGACACGAGCAGAAGGGAGGACACGCGCGUGCACCCUCCUCAUUAUCAUCAUCAGCAUCAUCACCUUAACAAGCAGUGAUGGAGUGCGCAAAACCAGAAAACCCCCAAAAGUCUCAGAUCAGCAGUUACUGUCACCCGCUGACCUCCAUAACACGGCAGAAGACGAGCCAUCCGUCUCAGGUUGGAGCUGCGUGUCGCCCCCCUGUGGCUGCGUGUUGUCACUGCACCUGAUCUACGCCGCA